UCUUUGACCAUUCAUCACUGUUCAUGUCCAACGUUUGACCGUUCGUCUUAUUUGAAAUUUUUUAAUGAUUAAUAUUUUUAUUGUUACUAGAUGAUAAAACAUGAAUAAUACUUUAUAUGUGACUAUUUUUUUAUUUUUUUCAUAAAUUUUUUUAAAUAAGACGAGCAGCCAAAUGUUAGAUACGGAUUCCCACGGCUGCACUAAUU
rfam:Oryza nivara chromosome 1, whole genome shotgun sequence.